rnacentral:misc_RNA from 1 species
AACGCACAUUGCGCCCGCCAGUAUUCUGGCGGGCAUGCCUGUCCGAGCGUCAUUUCAACCAUCAAGCCUAGUGCUUGUGUUGGGGCCCCGCGGCUGCCGCGGGCCCUGAAAACCAGUGGCGGGCUCGAAGUCGAACCGAGUGCAGUAAAUUUCUUCGCUUGGGAAGGUGACGAGUUCCGGCCGUAAAAAGCCCAACUUUAUCAAGGUUGACCUCGGAUCAGGUAGGACUACCCGCUGAACUUAA